ensembl:ncRNA Y17G9A.86 ncRNA
GGAAUUCGAUAGUAUUCCACAAAAUAAAGAAUUGGCAAUGGAUCGACAGCUGGGUAAAUUGCAAAUAUCAAAGUUAUAAUAGUUGCAAGAAACUGACAGUUAAUCUCGAAAAUUGGAAGAGUGAAUAGGAGUCCAAAUGGAAUAAAGAGCAAUACAACAGGGAUGACUGUCUGGAAAU